UGCUGGGAAAAUACCCCUCUAUUCUUGGAAGCAGACCAUCGUGUCUUCCCUUCACUUCUCUUAGCCAGUGUGGUUUGCCUCACUGAGCCCCAGAAGUUCAAGGAUUUAAAGUCAGCAAAUUCUAACACGUGCACGAACAGGGGACAUAGGUGAUUCUGGGGACAAAAGAAGGCUGGAUUGGUGUUCGAACUUUAGCUUCGCUAACAAGCUUCUCUGUGAUAUUGAUGCC